rnacentral:rRNA from 1 species
GACGAACGCUGGCGGCGUGCUUAACACAUGCAAGUCGAACGGAAAGGCCCUGCUUUUGUGGGGUGCUCGAGUGGCGAACGGGUGAGUAACACGUGAGCAACCUGCCCUUGACUUUGGGAUAACUUCAGGAAACUGGGGCUAAUACCGGAUAGGAGCUCCUGCUGCAUGGUGGGGGUUGGAAAGUUUCGGCGGUUGGGGAUGGACUCGCGGCUUAUCAGCUUGUUGGUGGGGUAGUGGCUUACCAAGGCUUUGACGGGUAGCCGGCCUGAGAGGGUGACCGGCCACAUUGGGACUGAGAUACGGCCCAGACUCCUACGGGAGGCAGCAGUGGGGAAUAUUGCACAAUGGGCGGAAGCCUGAUGCAGCAACGCCGCGUGCGGGAUGACGGCCUUCGGGUUGUAAACCGCUUUCGCCUGUGACGAAGCGUGAGUGACGGUAAUGGGUAAAGAAGCACCGGCUAACUACGUGCCAGCAGCCGCGGUGAUACGUAGGGUGCGAGCGUUGUCCGGAUUUAUUGGGCGUAAAGGGCUCGUAGGUGGUUGAUCGCGUCGGAAGUGUAAUCUUGGGGCUUAACCCUGAGCGUGCUUUCGAUACGGGUUGACUUGAAGAAGGUAGGGGAGAAUGGAAUUCCUGGUGGAGCGGUGGAAUGCGCAGAUAUCAGGAGGAACACCAGUGGCGAAGGCGGUUCUCUGGGCCUUUCCUGACGCUGAGGAGCGAAAGCGUGGGGAGCGAACAGGCUUAGAUACCCUGGUAGUCCACGCUGUAAACGGUGGGUACUAGGUGUGGGGUCCAUUCCACGGGUUCCGUGCCGUAGCUAACGCUUUAAGUACCCCGCCUGGGGAGUACGGCCGCAAGGCUAAAACUCAAAGGAAUUGACGAGGCCCCGCACAAGCGGCGGAGCAUGCGGAUUAAUUCGAUGCAACGCGUAGAACCUUACCUGGGUUUGACAUGGAUCGGGAGCGCUCAGAGAUGGGUGUGCCUCUUUUGGGGUCGGUUCACAGGUGGUGCAUGGCUGUCGUCAGCUCGUGUCGUGAGAUGUUGGGUUAAGUCCCGCAACGAGCGCAACCCUUGUUCACUGUUGCCAGCACGUUAUGGUGGGGACUCAGUGGAGACCGCCGGGGUCAACUCGGAGGAAGGUGGGGAUGACGUCAAGUCAUCAUGCCCCUUAUGUCCAGGGCUUCACGCAUGCUACAAUGGCUGGUACAGAGAGUGGCGAGCCUGUGAGGGUGAGCGAAUCUCGGAAAGCCGGUCUCAGUUCGGAUUGGGGUCUGCAACUCGACCUCAUGAAGUCGGAGUCGCUAGUAAUCGCAGAUCAGCAACGCUGCGGUGAAUACGUUCCCGGG